GGAAGGUGAGAAGCAAGUGGACAAAUGAUGAAGUAAAGGUUGCUGCAAAGUACCAGGGAUCACCGUAUGUGCAGGCUGACCAGCUGACUGGAAAAGAUGGACUGGGAAGAGGAAACGUUAGAGACGACAGGGAGCAUCAGUGAGGAGAGGAGGCCUCCCAUGACGUUUGCCCUAUUGUAGCUCUGGUGGUUUUCAGACAGCAUAGAGCUCGGAGGCUUCUCCCAGAGUGACGGGCCUCCAAAGAAGCUUUUCCACCAGGCCACCUGUCAGUCAGCAUUAUCCCUUUCAACUGACGCCGAGACAAAGAGUUGCAGAGAUAGUGAGCUCCAUUUAUGGUGUUAAACAAAAAACACUGGGUCUAUAGUGUGUUGUUCUUGUUUUUACCUUAUUUAUACUGCCACAUAAAGGAAAACCAGGACAGGUACUUAUUGUUUUAGAAGUGUCAUAACACUCACCCAAUUAAAAAUGAAUCAGUUAAAGGUGAAAAACUUGGUUUUGAUGAUGGCUCUAUUUUUGUGGUAAGGUUAGCAUGUUUCAAUAUAAUGGCUCUGAUUCUUUGUGGAAUUCAGCUUUACCCCAUGACAUCCUAGUUGAAAUGUUGUCUGGUAAUAAAUCUGCUGCAUUUUUCAUCAUCAGGUUGUUUGCAGUGUUCUUACUUUUUGACCCCAUGGUUUUGUAUCUAAUAAAGAGA